UGAAAAAGCUCCUCACAAUUUCAGUCCAAAAUCCAAAUGUCUCCUCCUUCACAAAUUUCCUCCUGAUUGAAUUAUCAACUCCAGCCGCAAGUUGCCCUAUUUAAUCUUGCCACUUCCUCCUGUUUUCCUGACUCAUCAAGCAGCGGAGAAACGAUGUCAAAGUUUGCAGCUCUGUUCGUCGUGGCCCUUCUCUUGCUCAAUGGAACCCUCAGCCGGGCAGCAAGACCUGCGCCAGCAGAUCCGAGCAGUAAUGGCCGACAACUGCAACCGGAGGCAAAGGAAGAAGAAGAGUGUGGGGGAGAAGGAGAGCAAGAGUGCCUGAUGAGGAGAACUCUGGUGGCACACACAGACUACAUCUAUACUCAGAACAAGCAGCCUUGAUAUGAUAAUCUAUAGCUAAUUCACUUUCUCUGGCAGCUUAUACAAUUUUUUCUCCUCCCUCCCUAUUCAGAGCCUUUUGUAGAUCUGAUUGUGAAUUUGGUUGUUCCUUUUUGUGUAUGCAAAAAUAUCAGAAGAAGAUUUUGUGCUAAAAA